GCAUUAGUAGCUUAAUACCUAGAGCACCGGUCUUGUAAACCGGCAGGUGAAGGUGAAAUCCCUUCCUACUGCU
rnacentral:tRNA from 1 species